rnacentral:rRNA from 1 species
UAACGCGUGAGGAACCUGCCUUUCAGAGGGGGACAACAGUUGGAAACGACUGCUAAUACCGCAUGAAACAUUUAAAUCGCAUGGUUUGAAUGUCAAAGAUUUAUCGCUGAAAGAUGGCCUCGCGUCUGAUUAGCUAGUUGGUGAGGUAAAGGCUCACCAAGGCGACGAUCAGUAGCCGGACUGAGAGGUUGACCGGCCACAUUGGGACUGAGAUACGGCCCAGACUCCUACGGAAGGCAGCAG